UACGUAGGGACCGAGCGUUGUCCGGAAUCAUUGGUCGUAAAGAGCGUGUAGGCGGCCACUUAAGUCCUGCGUGAAAUCUUGCGGCUCAACCGCAAGCGGUCGUGGGAAACUGGGUGGCUAGAGUGCGGGAGAGGAGAGUGGAAUUCCUGGUGUAGCGGUGGAAUGCGCAGAUAUCAGGAAGAACACCCGUGGCGAAGGCGGCUCUCUGGAACGCAACUGACGCUGAGACGCGAAAGCGUGGGGAGCAAACAGG
rnacentral:rRNA from 1 species